AGUUAAGUGAAUAAGGGCGCACGGUGGAUGCCUUGGCACUAGAAGCCGAUGAAGGACGGGACUAACACCGAUAUGCCUCGGGGAGUUGUAAGUAAACUUUGAUCCGGGGAUUUCCGAAUGGGGGAACCCACUGUUCGUAAUGGAACAGUACAUGCAUCUGAAUACAUAGGGUGCAUGAGGUAGACCCGGGGAACUGAAACAUCUCAGUACCCGGAGGAAGAGAAAGAAAAAUCGAUUUCCUGAGUAGCGGCGAGCGAAACGGAAAGAGCCCAAACCAGAAAGCUUGCUUUCUGGGGUUGUAGGACACUCCACUCGGAGUUACCAAGGAAUUCUUUAAAUGAAUCGACCUGGAAAGGUCAGCCACAGAAGGUAACAGCCCUGUAGUUGAAAAAGAAUUCCCUCCGGAGUGUAUCCUGAGUACGGCGGAACACGUGGAAUUCC
rnacentral:rRNA from 1 species